CAUUGGGGGAUUCAUAAUGGUGUCCAAAAUGGACACAUGGAUCCAUCCAUGUGUCCAUUUUGGACACCAUUAUGAAUCCCCCAAUGUAC
rnacentral:miRNA from 1 species